rnacentral:rRNA from 1 species
UACGUAGGGGGCUAGCGUUGUCCGGAUUUAUUGGGCGUAAAGAGCGUGUAGGCGGCCAGGUAGGUCUGGUGUGAAAACUCGAGGCUUAACCUCGAGAUGUCAUCGGAAACCAUCUGGCUAGAGUCCGGAAGAGGAGAGUGGAAUUCCUGGUGUAGCGGUGAAAUGCGCAGAUAUCAGGAGGAACACCAAUAGCGAAGGCAGCUCGCUGGGACGUUACUGACACUAAGGCGCGAAAGCGUGGGGAGCGAACAGG